rnacentral:rRNA from 1 species
UACCGGGGGUGCUAGCGUUGUUCGGAAUUACUGGGCGUAAAGGGCGCGUAGGCGGCUUUGUAAGUCAGAUGUGAAAUCCCCGGGCUUAACUCGGGACGUGCAUUUGAAACUGCGAGGCUAGAGUGCAGUAGAGGAUGGUAGAAUUCCCAGUGUAGAGGUGAAAUUCGUAGAUAUUGGGAGGAAUACCGGUGGCGAAGGCGGCCAACUGGACUGGUAUUGACGCUGAGGCGCGAAAGCGUGGGGAGCAAGCAGG